GUUCAAUCCAUUAUAAAUGGAUUGUUAUUAAAAAUGUACUAACAUUGGAUUUACAUUUUCUAUAUUUGAAGGUUGUUAUUAUUAUCCAGAACUUUAUUUCCAAGUUAUGAUUUGUGGUUUCUGUUCUCUAUAUUCUUUUUAAUAAAUUUACAUAUUAUUACACCUUGACCGUCUGAAUUGGAUUAAAUUUUGCAUCAGUUAAUGGAGGCACCGCUGGGAUACUGAUCGAUCCUUGAAGUAUAUUUGAUGCAUCGCAAGGAAAGAUAAAGAGAGGAUUGAACCUUUGAAUGUUUCAGAUCCUAUACAUCCUCCAGUAUUCCAGUAUCCUCUUUAGAGAGAAGCAGAGUGAGCUGCACAGGAAAUUGUGAACCAGCUUCAGGAAUCAGGGAUUUUGGUAAGGUGUACUUCCUCAAUGAACUUACCUAUGCAGCUUGAAAAAAAUAAAAUAAAAUAAAAUUGCCAGAUGGUAGCUAUAGGUUAACUAUAGACUACACCGCAUUGAAUGCUGUGACUCCUAGAAUAACUGCUAUUGUGCUAAUCCGUCAACCAUUCUUAAUGACAUUUCUCCAAACCAUCACUAUUUUAGUGCAGUAGACAUAACCAAUGGUUUUUGGUCUUGUCCUAUCAGAGAAGAAGAUCAAUACAGAUUUGCCUUUCAAUAUUGUGACGACAUUCUUCUCACAUCUCAAGAUAAAGCACAACACUUGAGUGUACUCACUCAGUUGUUGAAAGCUCUCCAAGAGGCGGGUUUCCUCUUGAACAAACAAAAGGUCCAAUUGUUUCAAUCGGAAGUUACAUUUUUAGGUCAAAGUAUAGGUCAUGAGGGAAAGAGACCUCUUCCAGACCGGGUCAUGGCCAUUACUCAUUUAAAUAAGCCAACCAAAGUUACUGGUUUAAGAUCAUUAAUGGGGCUAUUUAAUUUUAAUCGGAUGUAUAUCCCAGAUUUUUCUGAUUUGGCUAAACCUCUAACAGAGGCUCUUAAAGGAGGCCUUCCGGGUGCUUCCCCUUUGGAGUGAACAUCAGACAUGGCUGAGUCCUUUACUCUCCCCAAAUCCGCAUUACUCUCCUCUCCCGCAUUAUAUCACCCCGACAUGACAAAGACAUUCCAUGUAUGGACACAUGCUGGCCCAAGUGCUUAUAACUGUGUGCUGGGACAAUGUAAAGGUGACAAAAGUUAUGGUAUUGUUGGGUAUUAUUCAACUUUGAUUCCCUCUUCCAUGAAUGGACAGAUGAAUGGACAGAUGCCGUGUUUGAUGGCCUUGGACUGUGCUGAGUGGGCGUUGAAGGUCACUGAGGCCAUCGUCUGUUACAAUCAGAUGAUCCUUCACUCUCCACAUCGUUUUCUACGCAUGCUCGCAGAGACAAAAAUAAAGUUGAUUUCAAAUCAACGACAUGCAAAAUGGGAAACUGCUCUCAUGAACCCUCAGCUCACUGUUGUUGCAGACAACUGGACAAAUCCUGCCUCCCUAAUGGAGAAUGAGGGGAGUGCACAUGACUGCGCCGAGGUAAUUAUCUGUGACAGGGGACAUUUUGUCAGAGAUGAACCGUUUUCAGAUUCUCUGGACAUGUUCGUGGAUGGCAGCAGUUUCUACGAGGGGGACACACGCUACACGGGGUGGGCGGUAGUAGAGGGGAAGACGGGCGAGGUCUUGGCUGAGGGGUCGCUUCGGGAGGAAGUGCUCAGAUAGCUGAAUUGCAUGCUUUGAAUGCUGCCUUAAAUCUGGCUCUUAAACUAACUGCAGGUGAAAAUAGCUCCACUAAUGUAAAUAUUUUUACUGAUAGUGCAUACAGCUACCAUGUAGUGCAGAGUUAUGGCCCUGUUUGGAAACGUCGUGGGUAUUUGACCACAGCGGGUACGCCAAUAAGUCAUCAAACCGUAAUUGAAAAAAUUCUUGACACGUGUGAGAAAAUUCCACCAAACAGUGUCGCGGUAUGUAAAGUCACAGGUCACAGUACAUUCAAUGAUUGGUUGGCGAAAGGAAACUCUCUAGCUGAUAAGGCUGCGAGAGAAGCUGCAAAGGGUGUGGCACUUGAGGAAGUAGCUGUUAUUUUCCCUGUUCAUCCUGACUGCACGGGUUCCGAAACUUUAUCUAAAUUGUACACAACUGAGGAUCGUGAAAUGUGUCAGAAAUUAGGAGCUACCUUAACUGAAGAAGGGGUUUAUGCCCUGAAUGACAAAGUCAUUCCGCCUAGCGGAUAUCAAACUGAACUAAUUGAUUUGUACCACAGCAUUGCACACCAAGGGGUUCAGAAAACAUAUGCUAUGUUACAACAAACAUGGUUUUAGCCAGAGAUGUUACAAACUGUGAAGGAUAAGACUUUCCAGAUGUAUCCACUGUUUGCAAAUAAAGCUAUAAUUUGGAAAAGUUAAAAUCCCAAUUAGUCACAGUCCUCGCCCGCGAGGACCAUUCACACAUUUACGAUUGGAUUUUAUUUCGUUACCUUCUGAUCAUGGGUACAAAUAUGUAUUAGUCCUCGUUUGUGAAUUUUCCAGAUGAUCUGAAAGGGUAUAUUGGAUUUUCAGUCCCUCUCAUUGCACCAUGGUUCGGGAAUGAUAGAUUUUCAUAAAAUAGGGGUAUCUUUACUGGGAUUGUUAUAAGCAAUGUCUGUAUUUGGUAUCUGUGAGGUGACUGAGGGUCUGACCUAUGUCAGGAAUGCAAUAACAGUGAUUAUUCAUUUAGCCCGGCUUCCAGAGAAUAAUACAUAUAUACGUUUAUUGCAAAGAUUUUUUUUUCUUUUCGAUAUAACAAAUUAACCAAAAUUCAUCAUGGUUGUAUAAGACAUAUAAAAAGAAAAAAACAACUAAGUCAAAUUUCUUUCUAAAAGGUCUUUGGGUUUUAACUGUACCUUCCCCUAAAGCUCUGUUGUUGCGCUCAGGUCCUUCGGGUCCACUGAAAGACACUUUACAGGAGUAUCUUAAAGUACUCACGUGCGCAUUGAAGAAUGCCCAUUUCAGUGCCCUCAGUGCUCAACAUGCUGGAGAUCUUAAAAACGCUAUAUUCAAUGUAAAGGUUAAAAAUCACGUACAAGUGGGGGACGAAGUGAUGAUACAGAAAAUAGGGAACUUAGGACCAAUGUCCUUCAGGUAUGAGGGUCCUUAUUCGGUGUUGUUGACUACUCCAACAUCUCUUCUUGUUGAAAUCGAGCCAGGGCUGACUCGAUGGAUGCAUCUUGCACAAGUGAAGCCUCUGUCGCCGCUUGCUGAUACUAACUCUCUUUCUAAUGUGAUUUAGUCCAACAGGUGCAGUAUUUUAUAUCCAAGGAAUGGCUGCUAAGGAAGAACAAUGACUAAUUGUUUCCUCUCUUUAGGUUCUCAACUAUGAUUCCAUCCGGACCUGUUGUGUUAAUAAUAAUAAAAAAAAAAAAAUAAAAAAAAAGAGAGACUGAAAACCAUGGUGUUUAUGUUUGUGUGUAUUGGUGUUGUCCUGUUUGGUUGUCUAUGUGUCGUUGUGUAUUUGUUGUGUUUUUAUCCAAAUAUUUCUGCUCCUACUAUUCUAUAUCUCUAAUAGGUACGAGUGCAUGCUGUCCCAGAAAUAUUCUGCGUAUAUUUACCACACACGACUGGUUCUAAGGGUGACUCUUCGAUGUGACUUCUGCAACAGUGCAGCUCAUUGACAUUCUGGGAGUGGUUGCUGUGCUCGUGGCUAGACAUCAGUGUUUCAUCGCAUCAUCACAUCACUCGUUAACUCUACGUCAUCUGAGAGACCUGUGCUAAAGUCUACCAGCUGAUAUAUAUAGAUUUACAUAUAGAUCAAAAGAUAUUUUUAUUCUCCCAUUUAUACCAGUAGUCGUGAGGAAAUCUAUACCUUGCAGGUGAAGGGUAAGGAAAGGAAAGGUAUGAGAUGUUGAAAACGAUCAACGAAAGUUUGGAAAUAAACGACAUGGUACCAUAAGGACAAAUAUCUUCAACUACUAUCUGCCAAGGGCAAGAAGAGAAAGAACGAUGAUAGAGUUUAGAGUUGGGAAAGAUGGAAGGCUGUGGUAAGUCCUCAACCCAGCAAAAGUCCAGGGGACGCCAGGGGUCGAAUUUCCUUAGGAGUUCUCGUCUGGCCAUCUUGGUGAAGAUCUUUGUUAAUUUUAAGGUAGCUGGGGUUAGAGAGGUAUCUACAGUACUAUCUAUCUGAAAUUUUGCUAUUAAUUUUCUAUAUUUUCCUGUAUGCAUCAUGUAUUUUUCUUUUGAAUUACUCUGUAUUUCUGUAUUUUUGAUUUUGAUUUAAGGAAAAGGUUGUGGCGAGUCUUUUGAUAAGACUCGAGUGGGGGAUUGGUGUGUGGAGAUUCUAAGAAAUCCACAUGGUGAUAGAGAUUCUGAGAAGAAGUCCACGUAUUUAAAUUAAACCCAAGUGUUGUUGAGAGAUUCUGAGAAGUCACAUACUCAGAAUGUGUUCUAUUCAUAAUGAUAAGUUUAAUUUCAAAAGUUAAAAAUUAAUAUUUCAUGGUAAGGAUAUAUAUUAACAGGUUUCAUUUUUAUAUUCAAAAAUUUAUUUGAUAAACUUUGUGGUAUAUUUCAUAUGUAAUUUCACAGCAUUUCUAACUGCGUAGUCAGCUGAGUCUGUUUUGCAUAUGAAGUUGAACUGCAUGUAUUGUUCUUUUGUAUCAAUAUUUCUUAGAAUUAUCAGUAUGAUACUUUGAAUGUAAAAGAGGAAGAAGUCCAAAAUCGAGACAUUGACUAGACUAUUUUUAAAGGUCAGGUGUUAUUAGUGAUAGCCAGAUGACGACUUAUGUCUAGAACAACAGUAUAUAAGAUAGACUCUGCAAAAUAGAAUAGGGUUUGACUUUCUGAGACUCUGGUCUCUCUAUCUUUUCAGCUCACUUCCUCUUCUUUGGCUUCACUCGACAACUCUUAGACUCAGACUUAGAACUCUUACAGGUUUUUAUUCAAAUUCAGAUACCUUGAAAUUCAGAUACUUUGAUACUCUGAUACUUUAAUAUUUUAAUAUUUUAAUACUAAUAUUUUGGUACUUUUGAUUCGAACAGAAUAAUUGUUUAUGUUUUACUUACAAUUUUAUUAAUGUUUUGAUUAAUACUGGUUGGGUUCAAUCCAUUAUAAAUGGAUUGUUAUUAAAAAUGUACUAACAUUGGAUUUACAUUUUCUAUAUUUGAAGGUUGUUAUUAUUAUCCAGAA
ensembl:lncRNA